UGUGACUCCUGUUUAAGCUGUUUCUCACCCUAAAUGCUUCAAAUAGGGGUGAAUCUACCCUGUCUGACAGCAUACUCCUAAUGUCUAAUUUUCCAAUUACUCCACCAAUGGUUCAAGCUAUGGCCUGUGAUCCCAGAAGGCUUUGUGGGUUACAACUUAAGAGACUGUCACAGACAUUCUCAAUGCACUUCAGAUCAAAAUAGACUUAAAUACAUCCCACUUAAAAAAAAUAUUCAGGGGUUUCUGAGGGGUUGAACAUCUUUUUGUGGCACAGAGACAGUAACACCAUCAUUGCCUCAUUAAUGUUAGUUGUAAAUUACAGCUCUGAGGACUGACUGCAACAAAACAAGAACUGGCAUCUCCAGUCAGUAAGGCUAUCCUGCAGUAUCCGUAGACAUAAUGACUUGCAAAUCUUUAAACCUUUUUCAUGAACUAGACAGAUAUGCUCUAAUAUUUCACUUGAGCGAUGCAAAACACCCUGCCACUAACAGAGGUCGCCUUUAAUGGAUUAAAGAAAGCUCUGGCCCUGCUACACAUAUUGAAUUAAUUUCAGAUUGUUGAUGGGAGCCCAUCUUACACUACGUCUGACCUACCAGUAACCUAAUACUUCAUGUCUCCAAAUGAAUCAGAAAACAUGUUUAUCUUUUUCUCCUUGAUGGUUUGACUUCAUCUGGGAAAUGAAACAGAGCAAAACAGACGGACAAUCCUGCAUUCAUCAAAUAAACAUUAAAAUAAUAACAGCAACAAGAAAAAAACUCUCAACAAAGUCUGAAACUACAGGAAACUCAGAUGCUUUGGGAUUUGAACAUGGAUGAAAUCUACAGUUUUCAUGUGCAACUCUUCCUGGUUCUUCUUUCUUCUGUAAGAAUUUUAAGCAUGAGACUUUGCUGACUCAUAUAGCUGUGAAUAGUUGAACACAGAUUUAUGUGGUUUAGUUUUUCUGUCUCUUUUUAAAGGACUCAGAAUGUCAAUGUGCUAUUGAUGAUAUGCUACUAAUGAUAUUAAGCCAGAAUUUCAAUGAAAAUGAUAAAGCUUUCUCAGCUGCUAUACGAGCACCAUCACCUUUCAGUGUUUUCAUAAAUCUGAACUAUUGCCAGUAUACUUUAGCUUUUAAUAAAAUUUGUUCCAGGAAAGAUCAGAGCAAUUAGGAACUUAAGAGGAUGACGAUACCACAGAGUGUUUUCAAGGUGAAACAUUAAGCGAGCAACGAAGUCUUCUAGCCUGUCCACAUCUAUUAUUAGUAGGGAGCAAGAAGAAGACCAACAGUGAAGAUCCCUUUAGCAUCACUCUUCUUGAGUGUCCAAAAAGAAUGAUGAAACAAAACCAGAAUGAAAUUACUCUUCACUGACUACUUCUACAGGUCUGUCUAAAAAUGUAUGCCUUCUGACCUUCCGGAAAGAUUCAGUGGUUCAAUGCUUUUGUUUAUCUGUAUUAAAAUAGACAAACCAGUUGUUGACUAGGAGAGGCUUACAUGACUAACCCUUUGAGAGGCUACAGAGAACACCACAUGUAACCAAAAGUGCCUGCAGCAGAAGCAACAUGAAGUUUGGAAGUUCUAAUUUUUAAGUGUUCUUCCACUUAAGUUAAACAAGAUCUUGAACUGUAUUAAAUUCUAAGCAUGCUGGGCUGUUUUGGUUCAAGAAACAUAACUGGAAUAAUUUAUUUAAAUACAUUAGGAGGGAUUUUUUUUUUCUCUUGGGCAAGACUUCUCAGCUUCUUUAUGCUGCGGACAACAUUCCUUGUCUGCUGAGACAUUCAUUACCACCUCAGUUGUCUUUUCAUCAGACUGCCUCCUCUACCCACCACAACUGCAUGCUCCGAGUCACUUACACAUCAAGGACAUUUUAGGAAAGCGGUUGUUAUACUUUGAGCUUCCGUUAAUGCACUUUAGCAGCUGGAAAACGAAGAGAAGAGCCAACACUAUGAGACCAGCAAGCAUUCUUUAUAAGCCAUCAGUGAAAGCUCUGGGAAAUAUCAAUGGUUCCCAGAUCACAUUUUGGGAACUUCUGUAACAAGGAUCUAAGUUCACAGCCACAGUGUAUUAGAAGUUUUGGACUUGUAAGUCAGUAUCAAUGCCUUCUUCAGCAUUCAUAAGGACAGGAUUUUAGCCUAAAUUUCCACCAGAUUCCUGGAUCAAGAUUUCUUGAAUUAUAAUACUGAAGCAUUUUAUGAUUAAGAAAAGAAUAAAGCCCUAAAGCCUUUAUUUUUUA